rnacentral:rRNA from 1 species
AUACGUAGGGUGCGAGCGUUGUCCGGAAUUACUGGGCGUAAAGAGCUCGUAGGUGGUUUGUCGCGUCGUCUGUGAAAUUCCGGGGCUUAACUCCGGGCGUGCAGGCGAUACGGGCAUAACUUGAGUACUGUAGGGGAGACUGGAAUUCCUGGUGUAGCGGUGAAAUGCGCAGAUAUCAGGAGGAACACCGGUGGCGAAGGCGGAUCUCUGGGCAAUACCUGACGUUGAGGAUCGAAAGAUUGGGUGCCAAACAGGAUUUGUUACCUGGCUAGUCCAUGCCGUGAACGGUGGUGGCAAGGGUUAGGGGUCUUCCACGCCGUCUGCGCCUUAGCUCACGCAUUACGGGACCAGCCUGGGGAGUACGGCCGCAAGGCUAAAACUCAAAUGAAUUUACGGGG